CUACGGGCUGCUCCAGUGGGGAAUAUUGCACAAUGGGCGCAAGCCUGAUGCAGCAACGCCGCGUGAGGGAUGAAGGCCUUCGGGUUGUAAACCUCUUUUAGCAGGGAAGAAGCGAAAGUGACGGUACCUGCAGAAAAAGCACCGGCUAACUACGUGCCAGCAGCCGCGGUAAUACGUAGGGUGCAAGCGUUGUCCGGAAUUAUUGGGCGUAAAGAGCUCGUAGGCGGUUUGUCACGUCUGCUGUGAAAAUCCAAGGCUCAACCUUGGACUUGCAGUGGGUACGGGCAGGCUAGAGUGCGGAGGGGAGAUGGGAAUUCCUGGUGUAGCGGUGGAAUGCGCAGAUAUCAGGAGGAACACCAAUGGCGAAGGCACAUCUCUGGGCCGUAACUGACGCUGAGGAGCGAAAGCGUGGGGAGCGAACAGGAUUAGAUACCCUAGUAGUC
rnacentral:rRNA from 1 species